rnacentral:misc_RNA from 1 species
GCCUUACAAAACUGUUGGCUGCUUUUUCUCACUACCCUGAAGCAGCCUCAAACAGACAUGAAACCAGAAAUAAAACAAUUCUUUAUACACAUUGUAGGAAAAAUUAUAUUAGUAAUGGUCAUGAAAUAAUGCUAGUUUACACUCAAUUGCUUCCUAACAAACUUUGCAGCUUCUUCCUUGCGUCCUCGGACAAAUUGCAACACCUGAAUCUUGGUCUCUGUGAUGGAACGGAAGUUCGGUGAUCAGGUGAAGUAAAGCAUACAACAAUUGCAGUGAGAUUGUCGUCUGUGUCUUUACAUAAAGCUUGAUUCACAAGUUCUCUGGCAGACUGCUGUGGGUCAUUGUGCAGCCUAAGCUCAUGGCGAACGACAUUCACUGCAUCUUGGUUAGACAUCACAUCCCAGAUGCCAUCGCAACCAAGUAUCAUGAACUCAUCAUCCUCGGUCAACAACAAUUGCUGAACUUCUGGUUCUGCAGUAAGAGGAGAUGCAGACCCAAAUGGAAGCUUCAUAUACCAAUCUCCAAGGGCUCGAGUAAUAGCAAGAUCACCAUUUAAGCAACCAUAUUCAAUAAUACCGCCCAAUUUCUCAACUCUUUGUCGUUCCGCCAGACAUGUUGGCCUGUGAUCUUGAGACAACUGAACUGCAACACCUUUCCUACAAAGAACAGCACGACAGUCGCCGGCAUUAGCAAUAACCAGAUGUCUUCCUAGGACCAGCGCAGUUAUUGCUGUUGUUCCACAAUAGGCAUCAACACUACAUUCAUCAGCUAAGGCCUGGUCAGCAAUUAAAAAUGCUCUAAAAUGGGAACUCUCCAAUUCUUCCAAGAAUGCUUGAUCAACAAUAGAUGUUUGCGGCAAAUUAGCAUCUUCA